GACAGAGGGUGCAAGCGUUGUUCGGAAUUAUUGGGCGUAAAGGGCGCGUAGGCGGCCUCGCAAGUCAGGUGUGAAAUCCCAGGGCUCAACCCUGGAAGUGCAUCUGAUACUGCUUGGCUUGAAUCUCGGAGAGGGUGGUGGAAUUCCCAGUGUAGAGGUGAAAUUCGUAGAUAUUGGGAGGAACACCGGUGGCGAAGGCGACCACCUGGACGAAGAUUGACGCUGAGGCGCGAAAGCGUGGGGAGCAAACAGG
rnacentral:rRNA from 1 species